UUUACAUCCCACUUUCUACCUCAGCCGUUAGAUUCAGUAAUUUCUUUCUCACCCUUCCCUGCUCAUUCUGAGUUUGUGACGCCUGGGCCCGUGCGUGCUUGGGGCCACUCGUCUGGGACUGCGAGCGUUCCUGCUCGCGUCCGCGAGAAACCCAAAAACGGUGAAACCCUAGCCAUCUGAGAGCCUCUCUCUCCUCUCCAAUCCCGUGCCCACUCUUCUCCCCGAAUCCCCGCUCCUCUCCUCCUCCCGAAUCCGCCGCCUCCUCUCGCUUUCUCUCCCGCUGUGCUGGUCGUCGACGGUGAGCGGCGGGCGCGGGCGGCUUCCCGGAGGAGGCUAGCGGCGCGGGCCGCGAGGCGAGGAGACUGGCUCAGAGGUCGAUCUCGCGCCGUCUCACCCUCCCGGCCGCAUAUGCGGGCACAACGGCAGCGGCUGCCUCAGGAGAGGAGGAUGCGGCGGCGGUCCUUGGUGCGGGACAUCCGCUCGAACUGGCGCGGGGAGACUGGAUGAAGCGACGGCGGCGAGGCUCGAGAUCCCCCGCCUCAUCCUUCCCUGCCUCUGCACCCGACGAUGACGGCCCAGCCAUGUUAUUUAGGCGAGGAGGCAACAGAUCGAGAGGCAGCGAGAUGAAGCCUUCAAUCCUUCUUCCAUGGCGCCACCUCGACCUCACGGAUCUUGCCAAUGGCUAUGACACCAAGGUCCUGCGUGUGAACUGUUUGAUGAAAUUCGUCUGUGCCAAUUCUUUAUUGCUGCUGAUGAAGCAGCUGCCGGCCAAGCAGAGAUAUUUAUAAUGUGACGGACUGCUGCCGGAAGAAAAAGAAGACAACGACAUCGCUGCCACAUGGGAUCUCCUUCUAUGACGCUGCCGUGCUUUCCGCUGGGAAGGACACCAACAUGGUUAUAGACUUAUAGCUGUUGCUCUUGGACUUGGGAUAUGGAUCGUUGGGUGUUAAAAGCACUUCAUAGCAGCUUGGUCAUACCAUGGAUUCUUUGGAAGCUCUUUUCAGAAGCAGAGAGAGUGUACUACACUGGAGGAUUAAAAGAUCUUCGCAAUAUUUGCUUUCUCAAUGUUAACCUGUAGCGCCAGUUGGCCGCGCUGCAAGGUACGCUGAAGAUAUCUGAAGGAUUGAUUGGCACUGUCAGUGUCUAGGGAACGACCUAUGAUCUUGGAAUUGUCCAUUCGAUGCUAUGAAGGUAACAGGUGCUCAAUUGGAGGAGCCCCCCAAGUGUAUGAAGCAUGCAAAGAGGACAGUUCUGAGCACAGACGAUGUUGACGGUGCUCUCAACCUCAGGAAUGUUAAGCCUGUAUACGGAUUUGCUUCUGGUGACCCCUUGCGGUUUAAAAGAGCUGUGUACCAUAAUGAUCUCUUCUAUAUCGAUGACAGGGAGGUCGAUUUCAAAGAGGCAAGGAUAUUAUUGAUAAAUGAAUCAGAUAAAUUUACACUUUCUUUAUUUUGAUAAUGAAUUGGACAUAUGUCUGCCGCAUACAUAUUACUGAAGCUCCUCUACCCAAACUCUCGACACAGCAUUUGUAUCUCACUGGCUAACUAUUGAGGGCGUCCUCCAGCCUGCAAUUCUAGAUAAUCCUCCUAUCGAUGGUUAGCUCUUAUAUUAAUCACAAUGUCUUGUCCUCACUUCUAACAUCUCCACAUGUUCUGCUCAUAUUUUUGCUCAUAUUUUUAUCUGCUAUAAGGAAUAUAUUCAUUCUUUUCAACCUUUUUGCGAGAGGAUGAGAGACGAUCAGCUAUGAAGUGGAAAAAUCCAUUUUACACACCUAUCUAUUAGGUGCCACUUUAUACAUGACGUGCCAUCAAAUUGAUCCUAGCCGCAGUGGUGUCGAGAUUCGUGCUGAGCACGUUAUAUAGCACUUUUCUGCUUUUGGCAUCAGGUGUACAAAAGGGUGGUAUAGUGAUCUUGGAAGCAAAUGGGGAUCCAUGGGCUUCGGAUCAUUUAGCUUCCCCUGGUUCCCAUGUUCAUUGGAAAUUCCCUCUCUUGCUGAUAUUAAUUUUCUGUCAGCUUGCUCAUGUAUCUGUACUCGGUGGAAUUUACUAUAUUAUAUGAACUAUCUUUUUUGUUCAGUUUUUAAAUUUGUUACCGCACAAGCAGCUAUUUAAUGGUGAAAUACCACAUAGUUUGGUAAAGUAGUGGGAUGACUGGUUUCUGUAUGACCUUUUAUUGAAUAUUAUCUUGUCCCACUUAAAGGUUUCUUAGCUACUGGGGUGGUCCUUUGUUGGUUCACUGUGAAAAGAAACAAUGUAUGAUUUAUGACAUAUCCAAAAUAAUGAGCUUAGUGAAGCAUAAUGAAGAUCCUGACGGAAGGAAACUAUGCACAAAGAAAUUUUACCAAAAUAAGUGUGUGAAUUAAAAUUUACUGAUAGAGUGUGUUUUUUUUGGAACAUAUCAACUUUAGAAAUUAACCCAAGUGCUAUAGGUUUGUGAAUUAGUAGUAGCUUAUGCGGGUGGCUGCAGUUUGUUGAUUGGGAACCAGAGCCUCAGUGUUAGUAAUGUUGUUACUUAAGAUAGGACAUAAUAGCUUUGAAAUUAUCCCAAGCAAUAUAUGUUUGUAAAGUAACAUCAGCUUACACAGAUAGCUGCAAUGUGACAAGCUUGCAGAUUAUUGAUGUAUUUUCGAAUCUUCAGCCAACAAUUACAAGCUAAAUUUAUAACAGAAUGCAUACAUGGCUAAGAGGCCUACCAAAAGGUACAGCCUAUAUGCUUAAUGCUAGAGAUAUCCUACAGAACACAUCGAUAUUGUUUGCUCUGAUUGUUCAUGUCUUCAUUUUUUGGUUGAAGCACUUUUGGCUGCAUAUAGAUUGAAGCAUGGUUUUAAAGGCGUCGCCUAGGCGGUCAAGGUGUCAUGCUCGCCUUGGACUGCUGUCGAAGGCGUCCCAAUUGAACCGCCUAGGCGUCCAGGUCGUCGCUUAGGCAAGGAAGGCCUCGCUCUGGGCGAUUUUGGACGCCAUGGCCUGGUAGAGCGGGAAACGGAGCAGCCCGAGUGGGAAUCCAAAAUUGGAGCAGGAAUUGGAGAAAUUGGCCGCGGUAAUUGAGGGAAAUAGAGAGAGAAGACAGGGAGGAACCAAUUACUCACA